GCAUCUAUAGUGAAAUUGGAUAUCACGCAACGCUACGGACGUUGUAUUUGGGGUUCGAAUCCUCAUAGGUGCGCCA
rnacentral:tRNA from 1 species